rnacentral:rRNA from 1 species
UACAGAGGUCUCAAGCGUUGUUCGGAUUCAUUGGGCGUAAAGGGUGCGUAGGCUGUGAGGUAAGUCUGGUGUGAAAUCCCGGGGCUCAACCCCGGAACUGCACUGGAUACUGCUUUACUAGAGCACUGGAGAGGGAACUGGAAUUUACGGUGUAGCAGUGAAAUGCGUAGAUAUCGCUUGGAACGCCAACGGUGAAAACAGGUUGCUGGGGUUGUGCCGACGCUGAGACACGAAAGCCAGGGGAGCAAACGGG